rnacentral:tRNA from 1 species
AGAAAGUUAGUCUAAUCAAGACAGUUGAUUUCGACUCAACAGAUUAUAGCACUCACCCUAUAACUUUCUU